rnacentral:rRNA from 1 species
UUAUUCCUACGGGGGGCAGCAGUGAGGAAUAUUGGUCAAUGGGCGCGAGCCUGAACCAGCCAAGUCGCGUGAGGGAAGACGGUCCUAUGGAUUGUAACCCUCUUUUGUCGGGGAGCAAAAGACGCCACGUGCGGCGUUCCGAGAGUACCCUAAGAAAAAGCAUCGGCUGACUCCGUGCCAGCAGCCGCGGUAAUACGGAGGAUGCGAGCGUUAUCCGGAUUUAUUGGGUUUAAAGGGUGCGCAGGCGGAAGAUCAAGUCA